rnacentral:lncRNA from 1 species
GGCAAAACAGACCUACCUGGGCAGGGCCUGUAGCCUUCUUCAAACUUCAGCCAUUCGGACUCCUGGGUCCUCACCUCCUCUAUUCUGCCCUGGCAGGAGGUGAGGGCUUCAAAGAGGCCCUCUGGGUUCACACCGGCUUCCCAUUGCCUGUUCCUCACCCUCAGCAGUUCCUCGCUGUCUGGAGGGCAUCGUGGUGCCCGGCAGCAGCCUCAGUCCUGCCGUCCACACACCGCCUGUGCCUCCAGGCAUCUUCAGUGCCCCGUCCAGGACUCUUGUCAGAGCGUCCCUCCUGCCGGCAGCCACUCCCAGUUCUUCACACAGCGAAUGGAGCCCUCACGCUGCGCCGGUGCCACAUCUCCCACCAGCGAUGGAGCUUUGGUGCCACCUCUUCAUCUACUUUCCUGGGCCAUUCCUGGUGCCAACUGUUUCAGGUCCUGAAGGGAAGACAAGCCAGCUUGGUUCUAGGGGACUCUGUGGCACCCACUCCCAGCUCUUCCUGAUGACAUCCCACAGGCCAGCUGUACGACCUUGGAGGAAGGCCAGCGCUGGUGGGGACGUGGGAUCUAGGACUGGUCGGAGCCUCCUCUCGUACUUGCAGACUGGCGCAGAUAUUCUGUAGAGACGCGAGGCACACUGUGCACAUGGGCAUAUGUCCAUCUGUCUAUAGCUGAGACCAUGCAGAUUUUACAAGAUUAUCACAGAUGUUCUGCAACGUUUCCCGUUUCGGGUCUGCUCUUUCUCUGCUUGGGGCCAAUGCCUGCCCUUAUAAUCCCCUGGACACCUCUCAGCCAUCCAUCAACACUGGUCUGCUCUGAGACCAUCCCUACUGACCAGC